GACGAACGCUGGCGGCGUGCCUAAUACAUGCAAGUCGAACGCUUUUUCUUUCACCGGAGCUUGCUCCACCGAAAGAAAAAGAGUGGCGAACGGGUGAGUAACACGUGGGUAACCUGCCCAUCAGAAGGGGAUAACACUUGGAAACAGGUGCUAAUACCGUAUAACACUAUUUUCCGCAUGGAAGAAAGUUGAAAGGCGCUUUUGCGUCACUGAUGGAUGGACCCGCGGUGCAUUAGCUAGUUGGUGAGGUAACGGCUCACCAAGGCAACGAUGCAUAGCCGACCUGAGAGGGUGAUCGGCCACACUGGGACUGAGACACGGCCCAGACUCCUACGGGAGGCAGCAGUAGGGAAUCUUCGGCAAUGGACGAAAGUCUGACCGAGCAACGCCGCGUGAGUGAAGAAGGUUUUCGGAUCGUAAAACUCUGUUGUUAGAGAAGAACAAGGAUGAGAGUAGAACGUUCAUCCCUUGACGGAUCUAAC
rnacentral:rRNA from 1 species